GAUGAACGCUGGCGGCGUGCCUAAUACAUGCAAGUCGAGCGAACAGACGAGGAGCUUGCUCCUCUUACGUUAGCGGCGGACGGGUGAGUAACACGUGGAUAACCUACCUAUAAGACUGGGAUAACUUCGGGAAACCGGAGCUAAUACCGGAUAAUAUAUUGAACCGCAUGGUUCAAUAGUGAAAGACGGUUUUGCUGUCACUUAUAGAUGGAUCCGCGCCGCAUUAGCUAGUUGGUAAGGUAACGGCUUACCAAGGCAACGAUGCGUAGCCGACCUGAGAGGAUGAUCAGCCACACUGGAACUGAGACACGGUCCAGACUCCUACGGGAGGCAGCAGUAGGGAAUCUUGCGCAAUGGGCGAAAGCCUGACGGAGCAACGCCGCGUGAGUGAUGAAGGUCUUCGGAUCGUAAAACUCUGUUAUUAGGGAAGAACAAAUGUGUAAGUAACUAUGCACGUCUUGACGGUACCUAAUCAGAAAGCCACGGCUAACUACGUG
rnacentral:rRNA from 1 species